rnacentral:rRNA from 1 species
CCUACGGGUGGCUGCAGUGGGGAAUUUUGGACAAUGGGGGCAACCCUGAUCCAGCCAUGCCGCGUGCGGGAAGAAGGCCUUCGGGUUGUAAACCGCUUUUAUUUGGGAAGAAGGAGUAGGGGCUAAUACCCUCUAUGACGGACGGUACCGGAUGAAUAAGCACCGGCUAACUACGUGCCAGCAGCCGCGGUAAUACGUAGGGUGCGAGCGUUAAUCGGAAUUACUGGGCGUAAAGCGUGCGCAGGCGGUUCUGCAAGUCAGCUGUGAAAGCCCCGGGCUUAACCUGGGAACGGCGGUUGAAACUGCAGGACUAGAAUCUGGCAGAGGGGGGUGGAAUUCCACGUGUAGCAGUGAAAUGCGUAGAGAUGUGGAGGAACACCGAUGGCGAAGGCAGCCCCCUGGGCUAAGAUUGACGCUCAGGCACGAAAGCGUGGGGAGCAAACAGGCUUAGAUACCCGGGUAGUC